rnacentral:rRNA from 1 species
UCCUACGGGAGGCAGCAGUGGGGAAUUUUGGACAAUGGGCGCAAGCCUGAUCCAGCAAUGCCGCGUGAGUGAAGAAGGCCUUCGGGUUGUAAAGCUCUUUCAGUUGAGAAGAAAAAAUUGUGACUAAUAAUCACAAUUGAUGACGU